rnacentral:rRNA from 1 species
AACGAACGCUGGCGGCGUGCCUAACACAUGCAAGUCGAACGAGAAAGGGGCUUCGGCUCCGAGUAAAGUGGCGCACGGGUGAGUAACACGUGGGUAACCUGCCUCUAAGAUUGGGAUAACUCGUCGAAAGAUGAGCUAAUACCGAAUAAGACCACAGUUCCCGCGGGAACAGGGGUCAAAGGUAGCCUCUGCUUGCAAGCUAUCACUUAGAGAUGGGCCUGCGCACCAUUAGCUAGUUGGUAGGGUAACGGCCUACCAAGGCAAAGAUGGUUAGCUGGUCUGAGAGGAUGAUCAGCCACACUGGAACUGAGACACGGUCCAGACUCCUACGGGAGGCAGCAGUGGGGAAUAUUGCGCAAUGGGCGAAAGCUUGACGCAGCAACGCCGCGUGAGUGAUGAAGGCCUUCGGGUCGUAAAGCUCUGUCGGGAGGAACGAAUGAUCCUGAGGUUAACAGCCUCGGGAGGUGACGGUACCUUCAAAGGAAGCACCGGCUAACUCUGU